GAUUCUUGGAUUCUGAAAUUUGGAAAUCCUCAAGAGUGGAAAUUGGAGAGUGUUGGGUCAUGAGAAUCGUAGUGUUUUGGGUAAAAUCCUGGGACGUAGGGUUUUGUUGAGUGGAUUCUGAAGGAGGAAAGCAAAAUCUGGAGCGCGAACUACCUCGAAAGGCGAAUUGGGAAAACAAAUCGUCGGGAAAGGAAGAAGAGGACGGAGGGGUGAGGUUAGGAUUGAUGCUUGCUGUUGCAGUCAUGGCGGG
rnacentral:misc_RNA from 1 species